UCCGGUGUGGCCAAACGGUAAGGCGCCCGCCUGUUAAGCGGAUGAUUGGAGGUUCGAAUCCUCCCACCGGAG
rfam:Candidatus Entotheonella sp. TSY1 genomic scaffold TSY1_scaffold00042, whole genome shotgun sequence.